rnacentral:pre_miRNA from 11 species
UUCGCGGUAUAUUCUUGUGGCUUGAUGCAUUUGAAAAAUCUCAAAUCACAGGAGUAUACUGUGAG